rnacentral:tRNA from 1 species
GGAGAGAUGGUUCAGUGGUUAAGAGCACUGGCUAUUCUGCCAGAGGAUCUGGGUUCAAUUCCCAGCACCC